rnacentral:rRNA from 1 species
CUGACAUUAGAUACCCGUGUAGUCCCAGCCGUAAACUAUGCGCGUUAGGUGUAUCGGUGACCACGAGUUACCGAGGUGCCGAAGGGAAACCGUGAAACGUGCCGCCUGGGAAGUACGGUCGCAAGGCUGAAACUUAAAGGAAUUGGCGGGGAGCACCACAACAGGUGGAGCCUGCGGUUUAAUUGGACUCAACGCCGGGAAGCUCACCGGAUAGGACAGCAGAAUGAUUGCCGGGCUGAAGACCCUGCAUGACUAGCUG